UACGGGGGGGAGCAAGCGUUGUUCGGAUUUACUGGGCGUAAAGGGCGCGUAGGCGGCGUGACAAGUCACUUGUGAAAUCUCCGGGCUUAACUCGGAGCGGCCAAGUGAUACUGUCGUGCUAGAGUGCGGAAGGGGGCUACUGGAAUUCUCGGUGUAGCUGGUGAAAUGCGUAGAUAUCGAGAGGAACACCUGCGGCGAAGGCGGGUAGCUGGGCCGACACUGACGCUGAGGCGCGAAAGCUAGGGGAGCGAACGGG
rnacentral:rRNA from 1 species